CGGACUCGAGGCUCGGCGCAGGGGCUCCUACUGGCGGCGAGGGUGGGCCCGGAGCCAGUGCGAGCGGAGACGGAGCCAAAGACGGAGACUUCACGGCGGGAGCAGGAGCUGGAACCGGAGCUGCAAGCGGCGCCGGUGGUGGAACGGCAGGAGGUGGAGUUGCGGGUGGUGGUGUGGCCGGUGGUGGAGAAGCCGGAGGAGGAGAUGCUGGAGGAGGAGAUGCCGGUGGUGGGGAGGCUGGUGGGGGAGUUGCAGGAGGUGGGGUGGCGGGCGGGGGAGAUGAUACGGGAGGAGGAGUGGAAACUGGGGGUGGUGCCGCGGUGACGGGGGGUGGUGCAGAGGUGGGAGGAGGGGUGGUUGGUGGAGAAGGUGGUGGGUUGUUGUUGGGUGGUGGAGUUGUGGGGGUUGCCGGUGGAGCAGGGGUGCUGGUGGUGGGUGACGUGGCAGGAGAUUGGCCUCCGACGCCGGCGAAGACAAUGCAGAUAAAGCCC
rnacentral:lncRNA from 1 species